rnacentral:rRNA from 1 species
CUACCUCCGGGUUCGACCUUUGGANCGAACGGCAUUUGGGGAUACNUGGGCCUUGGUGUAAGCCGGCUUCACUUCGGAGAGGUUGGUUGNCUUGGGNCGGGGCACAACCCCUGUGGGGNGGUUUUGUUGAGGCGCGGGUUCGCGAAUAGGGUCGAACUGCUUUCGGUUCGCCGGCAGACCGUGGUGUGGAAUANGUANCUUCGUAUACAUAUGCUAUCUUCGCNNUCUAGUGGNGCUGANGGCGUGGAGUGAGUAUGAUUGCUGNUGCGGUGNGCGCUGGCGGAGUC